rnacentral:rRNA from 1 species
CAUGAACGCUGGCGGCGUGCUUAACACAUGCAAGUCGAACGAAGCACUUAAACCUGAUUCUUCGGAUGAAGGUUUUUGUGACUGAGUGGCGGACGGGUGAGUAACGCGUGGGUAACCUGCCUCAUACAGGGGGAUAACAGUUAGAAAUGACUGCUAAUACCGCAUAAGACCACAGAGCCGCAUGGCUCAGUGGGAAAAACUCCGGUGGUAUGAGAUGGACCCGCGUCUGAUUAGGUAGUUGGUGGGGUAACGGCCUACCAAGCCAACGAUCAGUAGCCGACCUGAGAGGGUGACCGGCCACAUUGGGACUGAGACACGGCCCAAACUCCUACGGGAGGCAGCAGUGGGGAAUAUUGCACAAUGGGGGAAACCCUGAUGCAGCGACGCCGCGUGAGCGAAGAAGUAUUUCGGUAUGUAAAGCUCUAUCAGCAGGGAAGAAAAUGACGGUACCUGACUAAGAAGCACCGGCUAAAUACGUGCCAGCAGCCGCCGUAACAC